UAGAUAAGUUUUUCUCAUUAUUUUUAUCAUUCUACCAAAUUUCAUAAUUUUUGGAGUUGAUUUGGGGCAUUGGAGUGGUUGCACUGUGCAAAAGAAGAAGAAAAAAAAAAACUAGCACAAAAUUGCUUCAGGACUACUCUUCUAUUUCAAUUUUUUGCUCAAAAGUGCAACCUGCACCUACUUUUUAGUCCAGUGGGUUUGUUAUAUUUUGUGUCUAGCACAGGCAUAAAUCAAGAGUUGAAAGGAAAAAGAGCUCUGAAAGGUAAGUGAAGUUCUGAGUUUUAAACACACAACACCUCCACACACUCAAACACGCACACACCAUCUCCGACCAGUUGGCUGUCCCAAACCCGCCAACAAUCAGUUUUAUGUGAUGUGGAAGUGAUCGGAAAAGAAACCAAGUGAAAACAAGUCGAUAGAAGCCAAAUAGAAGAAAACGAAAAAAGUGGCUAAAUAUGCAAAAACGGAUCAGAUCUGCAAAUCUGAAAAUAUGGGGCUGUUUUGGUCAUAUUUUAAUGUGGGAAUAUUGGGAACUAUAAGAGCAUGACUUGGGAGAAAUUAUUUUCAUCUCUGGCCAUUCAACACAAAUUUUGGAGUCUAGGGUUCUUGCACCACACUUUGGGGUUAAAGAUUUGGUUGAGCACGUUCUUGAACCUUUACUUCAUGUCUUUAAUUUCUUGCUUCAUAAUGAACAUCUAAGUGUGUAGGAUUUCAUUUCAAUACUUGAACCUUGUUUAUGGAAGUAUACAUUGUUAAAGUUUGGAUUGAAUCUCUUGAUUUGCUUAUGUAUUAAACAAAUUUUAUUUCUAAUGAAGUGAGUUAAUGUUUCUCAA